AACGCGAAGAACCUUACCAACUCUUGACAUCCUCAUUGGGGAGAACAGAGAUGAUCUCUUUCAGCUCGGCUGGAUGAGUGACAGAUGCUGCAUGGCUGUCGUCAGCUCGUGUCAUGAGAUGUUGGGUUAAGUCCCGCAACGAGCGCAACCCUUGCCAUCAGUUGCCAGCAGGUUAAGCUGGGCACUCUGAUGGGACUGCCGGUGACAUGCCGGAGGAAGGUAGGGAUGACGUCAAGUCAUCAUGGCUCUUACGAGUUGGGCUACACACGUGCUACAAUGGCGCCUACAGAGGGCAGCGAGAUAGUGAUAUCGAGCGAAUCUUAAAAAGGCGUCUCAGUUCAGAUUGUACUCUGCAACUCGAGUACAUGAAGUUGGAAUCGCUAGUAAUCGCGGACCAGCGUGCCGCGGUGAAUACGUUCCCGGGUCUUGUACACACCG
rnacentral:rRNA from 1 species